ACUUAUAUAGUAUAAGCUUAUUAUAUUUGGCUUCCAACCAAAAAAUCUAUAUUUAGUAUAGGUA
rnacentral:tRNA from 1 species